GUCGAGCCUAGGCCACCCGAAAACCCGGACACCUUCACCGGCUGGCUCGGCGUUCUUCGUGAAGG
rnacentral:sRNA from 1 species